AUUGAACGCUGGCGGCAGGCCUAACACAUGCAAGUCGAACGAGUGGCGGACGGGUGAGUAAUGUCUGGGAAACUGCCUGAUGGAGGGGGAUAACUACUGGAAACGGUAGCUAAUACCGCAUACCAUCAGAUGUGCCCAGAUGCGAUUAGCUAGUUGGGGGGGUAACGGCUCACCAAGGCGACGAUCCCUAGCUGGUCUGAGAGGAUGACCGGCCACACUGGAACAGAGACACGGUACAGACUCCGACGGUAGGAAGCAGUGGGGAAUAUUGCACAAAGGGCGCAAGCCUGAUGCAGCCAUGCCGCGUGUAUGAAGAAGGCCUUCGGGUUGUAAAGUACUUUCAGCGGGGAGGCGUUACCCGCAGAAGAAGCACCGGCGAACUCCGUGCCAGCAGCGGAGGUAAUU
rnacentral:rRNA from 1 species